UGGCGGUGAACCGAAUUCCAGUGGUUCCCAAACGCCAGAACGUUAACCGCCGCCGCCGCCGCCGUCGUCGUCAUGUCCGACGGCGGCGGUGGCCGUGCGUCGAAUAUUCCACACGUAUAAUAUUAUAUAUUUUGUUAAAUUAUUGUCAUCGUCGUCGCCGUCGUCUUCGCCGUUGUACGACAAGUAAAUGCGUCUGCAUGAUAUUAUUCGUAUUUCGUAUUUUUGUCCGCGACUCGCAGCAAACUCAUCAUAAUGGUGGUUUUUCUCGGGACGCGAGUCCGUCAUCGCCGUCGUGUCGUGCACGUCCGGCGGACGAUGGGAAAAUCGUUGGAUUUUUGCGUAUCGUUGCUCCGUCGAGUACCGUGCACGAAAAAACGUUAUCGUUACUGUAACGAUGUAGGAGACACGUGAGUCCGCCGUGAAAAAACCGUCCGGUCGCCAAGUUCGGAGCGAAAUCGGAAAGAGUGACACGUCACGGUUUUCUGCCGUCGACCCCGCUCGUAGCUAUAUAAUAUUAUUGUAAUACGGUUACUUGUCAAUUGUCAAAGAUCUUGAGUAAGGCAAUUGGCGUUCAGGUUGUCACCAAUCUCCAUCAAUCAAAAUCGAUGCCGUACACGAAAGUCGUUUUUCACAAUAUUCAUGAAGCUUGGAAAUCACAAAUCGUACAAUGGUCGUGGAACUAGUUAUAAUUCAACUCAAACAAUAUUCGAAGGAUCGUAAUAAAUGUCCUCGUGUUAUAGAGGCAAGGUUAUACAACUAGGUAUAUAAUAACUAGGUAAUAAGUAAUAACGUUUUAUUUAAAUAAAAAUAAGUUUAUA